rnacentral:rRNA from 1 species
UACAGAGGUCUCAAGCGUUGUUCGGAUUCAUUGGGCGUAAAGGGUGUGUAGGUGGCGCGCUAAGUCGGGUGUGAAAUUUCGGAGCUUAACUCCGAAACUGCAUUCGAUACUGGCGUGCUUGAGGACUGGAGAGGAGACUGGAAUUCAUGGUGUAGCAGUGAAAUGCGUAGAGAUCAUGGAGGAAGACCAGUGGCGAAGGCGGGUCUCUGGACAGUUCCUGACAGCUGAGCACGAAGGCCAGGGGAGCAAACGGG